rnacentral:ribozyme from 1 species
UUUUUUUUUUUUUUUUUUUUUUUUUUUCUCC